GAUGAACGCUGGCGGCGUGCUUAACACAUGCAAGUCGAACGGAAAGGCCCAAGCUUGCUUGGGUACUCGAGUGGCGAACGGGUGAGUAACACGUGGGUGAUCUGCCCUGCACCUCGGGAUAAGCCUGGGAAACUGGGUCUAAUACCGGAUAGGACCACGUCUUGGAUGUUGUGGUGGAAAGUUUUUUCGGUGUGGGAUGAGCUCGCGGCCUAUCAGCUUGUUGGUGGGGUAAUGGCCUACCAAGGCGUCGACGGGUAGCCGGCCUGAGAGGGUGUACGGCCACAUUGGGACUGAGAUACGGCCCAGACUCCUACGGGAGGCAGCAGUGGGGAAUAUUGCACAAUGGGCGCAAGCCUGAUGCAGCGACGCCGCGUGGGGGAUGACGGCCUUCGGGUUGUAAACUCCUUUCGCUAGGGACGAAGCGUUUUUGUGACGGUACCUGGAGAAGAAGCACCGGCUAACUACGUG
rnacentral:rRNA from 1 species